GGGGAAUAUUGGACAAUGGGCGAAAGCCUGAUCCAGCAAUGCCGCGUGAGUGAUGAAGGCCUUAGGGUUGUAAAGCUCUUUUACUAGGGAUGAUAAUGACAGUACCUAGAGAAUAAGCUCCGGCUAACUCCGUGCCAGCAGCCGCGGUAAUACGGAGGGAGCUAGCGUUGUUCGGAAUUACUGGGCGUAAAGAGCACGUAGGCGGCUUUCUAAGUCAGGGGUGAAAUCCCGGGGCUCAACCCCGGAACUGCCCUUGAAACUGGAGAGCUAGAAUCCUGGAGAGGCGAGUGGAAUUCCGAGUGUAGAGGUGAAAUUCGUAGAUAUUCGGAAGAACACCAGUGGCGAAGGCGACUCGCUGGACAGGUAUUGACGCUGAGGUGCGAAAGCGUGGGGAGCAAAC
rnacentral:rRNA from 1 species